AUUGAUCCCUGGCGGUAUGCUUAACACAUGCAAGUCGACCGGCAGCACGGGCUUCGCCCUGACGGCGUGUCGGCAACUGGUGUGUAAUGGAUUGCAACCUGCCCAGUAACGGGGUAUAGUCCGGCGAAAUCCGGAUUAUUACCGUACUCCACCUGAGGGUGAAAGCGGGUGCCCCAAAGGCCUCCCGCUAUUGCUGCAGCCGAUGUCGGAUUAGCUCGUUGGUGGGGUAAAGGCUUACCAAGGCGACGAUCCGUAGCUGGUCCGAGAGGACGACCAGCCACAGUGGGAGUGAGACACGGCCCGGACUCCUACGGGAGGCAGCAGUGGGGACUUUUGGACAAUGGGGGCAAGCGUGAUCCAGCCAUGCCGCGUGGGAGAAGAAGGCCUUCGGGUUGUAAACCGCUUUUGUUGGGGAAGAAAUCCUCUAGGCUGAUCCCCCGCUGGGAUGACGGUACCAGAAGAAUAAGCACCGGCUAACUACGUG
rnacentral:rRNA from 1 species